UACAGAGGUCUCGAGCGUUAGGCGGAAUCACUGGGCUUAAAGCGUGUGUAGGUGGAUCGUUAAGUACCUUGUGAAAUCCCACGGCUUAACCGUGGAACUGCUUGGUAUACUGGCGGUCUUGAGCCAGCUAGGGGCUACCGGAACAAAUGGUGGAGCGGUGAAAUGCGUAGAUAUCAAGAGGAACACCUGAGGUGAAGACGGGUUGCUGGGCCGACACUGACGCUGAGUGCGCGAAAGCCAGGGGAGCAAACGGG
rnacentral:rRNA from 1 species